UACUAACCAGACGCCCAGUGCCUAUACAUACGGCGUUCGUGCGUGCCCACGUGCUUUCGUGUGGCCACUGUCUUCCGUGAACACCCGCUCCUUCGCAGAGCUCCAUUCUAACUUCGACCAGCUGUAGCAUUGGUGGCCUCGGCACCUCCGCUUCAGUCAUGAGCGACAAUCCUCACUCGCUGCAUCCGCUGUCGUCGGACUCGACAAGUCAAGCAUUGCACUCCUCGACGAAGCCCCCUGCCACCCCGCACGAAGGCGAGUUUCACAGUGUGCGGGACUCGAACGUUGUGGAGCCGACAGAGGCGAACGGGAAAAAGUCGCACGUCGGCCCCCACCUCGGCUCUCGCAUGCGCAUCUACGAGUACUCCAUCGAGCACAAUGACGCCUUCUGGGCCGAAAUUGCACGGCGCGACUUCUACUGGAAGACGACCUGGCCGGAUGACCAGCACGUCAAGUCGUACAACUUCGACAAAUCCAAGGGCCCCAUCUUUGUGAAGUGGUUCGAGGGCGCCGUGACGAACGUCUGCUACAACGCGUUGGACCGCCACCUGCCGGCGCACAAGGAUCGCGUGUGCUUUUACUUUGAAGGCAACGACCCGAGUGUGACGGAAGCAGUCACGUACGGCAGCAUGUACACGAGGGUGGUGGAGCUGGCGAACGUGCUGAAGUACCAGUACGGUAUUGCAAAGGGCGACCGCGUUGGCCUGUAUCUACCCAUGAUCCCGUUCGCUGCGGUGGCCAUGCUCGCCUGCGCCCGCAUCGGUGCUGUCAUCACCGUGAUCUUCGGCGGCUUCUCGGCUCAGGCGCUCAGCUCACGCCUGAAGGACGCCCAGACAAAGCUGCUUAUCACGGCCGACGCGUCGGCGCGGGGCACAAAGCCGAUUCCUCUCAAGGACGUGGCAGACGAGGCGCUGAAGGAGUGCGAGGAGGAAGGCAUGUCCAUCGCGUGCCUCGUCGCUGAAAACAUGAACCGUCAAUCCUGCAAGAUGAAGGAAGGCCGAGAUACCUGGUACGGCGAUGCCUUAGCCCGACUGACGCCGGAGCAGCACGAGGAGUGCCCGGUGGAGUGGAUGGACGCGGAGGAUGUGCUGUUCCUGCUCUACACCUCCGGCAGCACAGGGAAACCCAAAGCCAUCGUGCACACGACGGCGGGCUACAUGGUGUACGCCUCCACCACCUUCAUGUACAGCUUCGACUACCACAUGGACGACGUGUACUUCUGCACGGCUGAUAUUGGCUGGAUCACAGGCCACAGCUACGUCGUGUAUGGUCCGAUGAUCCACUGCGCCACGUCGGUGCUGUUCGAGGGUGUGCCGAACUACCCCGACUACUCGCGCUGGUGGCAGCUCGUCGAGAAGUACAAGGUGUCCAUCCUCUACACCGCGCCCACCGCGAUCCGCUCCCUCAUGCAGGCCGGCGACGACUACGUCAAGGUGGGCAACCGCAGCACCCUGCGUGUGCUGGGCUCUGUCGGCGAGCCGAUCAACGUGGAGGCGUGGAAGUGGCUGCGCGAUGUCGGCGGCGAGGGCCACUGCGAUGUGUCGGACACGUGGUGGCAGACCGAGACGGGCGGCCACAUGAUUACACCGAUGCCGGGCUGCACCCCCAUGAAACCCGGUAGUGCAACGCUGCCGUUCUUCGGUGUCCAGCCGGUUAUUCUCGACCCCAUGAAGCUGCAUGAGAAGCAGGGCCCCGCGGAGGGCCUGCUCGCCAUUCGCGCGCCGUGGCCUGGUAUGGCCCGCACCAUCUACGGUGACCACGCACGCUUUGAGAAAACCUACUUUGGCGUGGACGGGUACUACAUGACAGGCGACGGUGCUCGCCGCGACUCGGACGGCUAUUACUGGAUCACGGGCCGCGUCGAUGACGUGCUGAACGUGAGCGGGCACCGCAUCGGCACCAGCGAGAUCGAAGACGCCGUCAACACCCACCCGGCCGUGGUGGAGAGCGCCGUCGUCGGCUUCCCUCACAACAUCAAGGGUGAGGGCAUCUACGUCUUCCUUACGUUCCGCCAGGGGACGGAGGUGACGCCCGAGCUGCUGGCGGCGGUGAAGGCGACUGUGCGCAAGGUGAUUGGCCCGCUGGCCACGCCGGACGUGAUGCAGGUGGCUCGCGUAGGGCUGCCCAAAACGCGCUCCGGCAAGAUUGUGCGCCGCAUCCUGCGCAAGGUAUCGGCUGGGCAGUACACGGAGCUGGGCGACACCUCGACGCUGGCGAACCCCGACGUUGUUGAGGACCUCAUCGCCGAGCACCAGAGGCUGUGCUCUCAGAACUAGAGGCGGUAUUAGAACAUCGGAGAGCGCACGCGCAGGGGCACGCACGCGUGGCUGAAGAAAAAGGAAAGUCAAGCCGCACGGAUGUGCAAGAAAGUCAAGGGGCUGACGUCCGUUCGCCUAGCCUCGCUUCGCCUAUUACUUCUCCUCGCCACCACCCCUUGGCGGGCUGCCUCUCACCUUGUAACACAACGUGCACUCCCUUGCGCCUCCCCCUC
rnacentral:misc_RNA from 1 species